rnacentral:rRNA from 1 species
CCCUUAGAUGUUCUGGGCCGCACGCGCGCUACACUGAUGCAUUCAACGGGCCUAUCCUUGACCGACAGGUCCGGGUAAUCUUUGAAUCUGCAUCGUGACGGGGAUAGAUUAUUGCAAUUAUUAAUCUUCAACGAGGAAUGCCUAGUAGGCGCAAGUCAUCAGCUUGCGUCGAUUACGUCCCUGCCCUUUGUACACACCGCCCGUCGCUCCUACCGAUUGGGUGUGCUGGUGAAAUGUUCGGAUCGGCCGUUUGUCGCGGUUUCCGCGUCAUGUGGCUGAGAAGUUCAUUAAACCCUCCCACCUAGAGGAAGGAGAAGUCGUAACA